rnacentral:lncRNA from 10 species
UUUACAAAUCACUCAGACCACACCCACUCAAGGUUUUAGGAAAUCUUAUUAAUGUGAACACAAUUUAAGAGUCCUGAGUCCUGAGCAUGAGAAAACAAGUCUACUGGUCCACAACUCUGAAAAAGUGAAAAGCCUUUAAAUGUAUCCAGGGAUGGCAGGCAAUAUUCCUAACCAACACAUACUUUUGGUUAGUUAGUUACUAACUAACCAGUUAUGUGAUAUGAGAUGGAUGGGAGCUGGCAGUGAUUCUCAUUAUUAUUUGGAAAAGAGAUCUCUACUCAAUUCCCACAUUUCCCCCUCUUUCCAAUGACAGAACUGGGUCCAUAUAGUAUUGAACUAAAGGGUACUAAAUGGAUACUUACAUGUGGCCAGAAAGCUUCCUUCUUACAGCCCGGAGUAUAAGUAUGUCCUCAGAAUGAUCCAGCUCAGUAGGUAAAUUCUCCUGGAAUUACUGUGCCAUAGAAGGCAGUAACUAUAGUUUAUUCCCUGGACAAGCCCCAAAUGGUCUACCCUCCAGUGCUGUAAUUGUUUAUAUAUCAACAAUGUUAAGGGUGUCAUUUUGGCAGAUACCAUUAUUACCCAUACACCCUGCUUGGCUUAAAGUAUUUUUUUCCCCACUAAUCUCCUCAUCAACAUAUAUAGGACACUCCUAAAAAUGAUAAGCCAAUAAAACUGCUUUACAUUCUUUUUCUAAGAUGGUUGAAUAUAAAUAAUAAAGAACAGAAAACAAUCACAGGUUAUUCUGAUAUGUUGCAAUAAUCACAUUGCACUUUUUUAUAGGCCUAUAAUAUCUGCAUAACAACUUUUUAUAGAGAAAAUAUUUUACGUUUGCUAUCUUGCUUUAUUUAGCCUCACAAAAUCCCUGUGAAACUGGGGGAGGAAUAGCUGCAGUAUCUACAGCAGUUCUCAAGAUGGGUCCUACAGAAUUAUUGAGAUUGUUAUCAUAGGCAGAUCAGUAAGGUUCCUCAUUUUAACAAGAAGUCCUCCUCCUUGAAACAGUAGGAAACCAAAGAGUUUUAUAGGGAGUAAAAUUUCUAUGUUCUUCAAGCUGAGUCACAUUUGACUGAACUUUUCAGGUUUCUGUGAAAGCCAAGUCAGAAUUAAAACUUUUUAUUUAUGCUUCGGUUAUAUUUGGCAGGUGAAUAAGGAGAUACAGGCCUGUGCUAGGAAAUUCUCUAUCUCAGACCUUAGCACCUUCAUUAGAACCUCCCAUGACACCUUUUAAAAAAUUAAUUGGUUAACUAAUUUUAUUUUUAAUUGACCAAAAAUAAUUGUAUAUAUUUA